rnacentral:lncRNA from 1 species
AACAAAAGCGCACUCCAACAAUGCACACUUGUCCUUCACUUUUCCCUUUGAGCCCCAUAUUCAUUGGCGGCGCUGCGAGCAGAGAAUAGGCAAUGUGUGAUUAUACUGUAUGGAGCUGGUGAGGGGAGUGUGUCAAAGUGUGCAUGCCACACAAUGUGCCUGGAGAGAUUGAUGUUUUUGUCAUCCACCUGCUUCAAAGCUGUAAAAAAGCCGGCUGAUGCAAAUAGAGAAACCUAGCCAGGCAGGCUCACAAACAAAAGAGGGAGAACCUCCACUGCUCCUCUUUUUGCACAUCUGCUUUGGAGGAAUAUCUGAGGUUUCUGUUGUGACGCACACUGCAGGCUCAAAUGAACACUGAAUCUGAGUCUGGUGUCUGGCGACUACCUGAUCAGUCACUGGUCCUCCUCUUGUCUCUUUCUGGUGCUGUUCUGGUUGCGUCCCCAGCGGGAGCAGAAAUGGGGCAUGGAGCCUGGGCGGGGCGGCUGGGAGGAGAGACGGCAGCCGGGGUGGCGCGCCGACUGGAGGAGUGCCAACCAGGCUGCCAGAAAAUGAAGUUAAAGUUUAUAGAGACAUGCAGAGAAUGA